rnacentral:snoRNA from 1 species
AAGUCGUGAUGAGGACAUUUGGUCUAAUAACCUUUGAAGCGCUCCCAUGCUUCAUAGAAGGUUUCAGCAUGCUGCUGUGUGUAUCCGAAUAUCUCAUUCCGAAGUCU